rnacentral:lncRNA from 1 species
AUAGCUUUAUUCUGGGAAUGGUAUGGCCAAAGACCUUUCACCAUGAAAAUGGUCUUGUUCUUGAAUACCUAGUCUUACUAUUCAAGAAUGGCCACUGGUACCUCUUCAAAAGUUAGGUUCUCUUCAAUUAAAAGUGUUUCAUAGUGUAGUAUAUGAGAUGGGUUUGGAUGAUGCCUGCAUAGCAUAAAUACGUUAAAUACAUUAUAAACCUUGAC